UACGUAGGGUGCGAGCGUUGUCCGGAAUUAUUGGGCGUAAAGAGCUUGUAGGCGGUUUGUCGCGUCUGCCGUGAAAUUUCGGGGCUCAACCCCGAACUUGCGGUGGGUACGGGCAGACUAGAGUGAUGUAGGGGAGACUGGAAUUCCUGGUGUAGCGGUGAAAUGCGCAGAUAUCAGGAGGAACACCGAUGGCGAAGGCAGGUCUCUGGGCAUUAACUGACGCUGAGGAGCGAAAGCAUGGGGAGCGAACAGG
rnacentral:rRNA from 1 species